AUAUCUUUCUCGGCCUUUUGGCUAAGAUCAAGUGUAGUAUCUGUUCUUAUCAGUUUAAUAUCUGAUAGAUGGGUCAUCGCGUCCCAUCCGAUAUUAACUCUAUUUUUUAAGGGAAAAAGCCUGUAAAGAUAGCUUGCUAUUUUAGGUUUUUAGAGUCGCCUAUGUUUUGCACUACUACAUGGGCCGGCUCAACCCAC